UACGUAGGUGGCAAGCGUUUGUCCGGAAUUAUUGGGCGUAAAGCGCGCGCAGGCGGCCUUUUAAGUCUGAUGUGAAAGCCCACGGCUCAACCGUGGAAGGUCAUUGGAAACUGGAAGGCUUGAGUACAGAAGAGGAAAGCGGAAUUCCACGUGUAGCGGUGAAAUGCGUAGAGAUGUGGAGGAACACCAGUGGCGAAGGCGGCUUUCUGGUCUGUAACUGACGCUGAGGCGCGAAAGCGUGGGGAGCAAACAGG
rnacentral:rRNA from 1 species